rnacentral:rRNA from 1 species
AUUGAACGCUGGCGGCAGGCUUAACACAUGCAAGUCGAACGAUGAAACUCUAGCUUGCUAGAGAAGAUUAGUGGCGGACGGGUGAGUAACAUUUAGGAAUCUGCCUAGUAGUGGGGGAUAGCUCGGGGAAACUCGAAUUAAUACCGCAUACGACCUACGGGUGAAAGGGGGCGCAAGCUCUUGCUAUUAGAUGAGCCUAAAUCAGAUUAGCUAGUUGGUGGGGUAAAGGCCCACCAAGGCGACGAUCUGUAACUGGUCUGAGAGGAUGAUCAGUCACACCGGAACUGAGACACGGUCCGGACUCCUACGGGAGGCAGCAGUGGGGAAUAUUGGACAAUGGGGGCAACCCUGAUCCAGCCAUGCCGCGUGUGUGAAGAAGGCCUUUUGGUUGUAAAGCACUUUAAGCAGGGAGGAGAGGCUAAUGGUUAAUACCCAUUAGAUUAGACGUUACCUGCAGAAUAAGCACCGGCUAACUCUGUGCCAGCAGCCGCGGUAAUACAGAGGGUGCGAGCGUUAAUCGGAAUUACUGGGCGUAAAGCGAGUGUAGGUGGCUCAUUAAGUCACAUGUGAAAUCCCCGGGCUUAACCUGGGAACUGCAUGUGAUACUGGUGGUGCUAGAAUAUGUGAGAGGGAAGUAGAAUUCCAGGUGUAGCGGUGAAAUGCGUAGAGAUCUGGAGGAAUACCGAUGGCGAAGGCAGCUUCCUGGCAUAAUAUUGACACUGAGAUUCGAAAGCGUGGGUAGCAAACAGGAUUAGAUACCCUGGUAGUCCACGCCGUAAACGAUGUCUACUAGCCGUUGGGGUCCUUGAGACUUUAGUGGCGCAGUUAACGCGAUAAGUAGACCGCCUGGGGAGUACGGCCGCAAGGUUAAAACUCAAAUGAAUUGACGGGGGCCCGCACAAGCGGUGGAGCAUGUGGUUUAAUUCGAUGCAACGCGAAGAACCUUACCUGGUCUUGACAUAGUGAGAAUCCUGCAGAGAUGCGGGAGUGCCUUCGGGAAUUCACAUACAGGUGCUGCAUGGCUGUCGUCAGCUCGUGUCGUGAGAUGUUGGGUUAAGUCCCGCAACGAGCGCAACCCUUUUCCUUACUUGCCAGCGGGUUAAGCCGGGAACUUUAAGGAUACUGCCAGUGACAAACUGGAGGAAGGCGGGGACGACGUCAAGUCAUCAUGGCCCUUACGACCAGGGCUACACACGUGCUACAAUGGUAGGUACAGAGGGUUGCUACACAGCGAUGUGAUGCUAAUCUCAAAAAGCCUAUCGUAGUCCGGAUUGGAGUCUGCAACUCGACUCCAUGAAGUCGGAAUCGCUAGUAAUCGCAGAUCAGAAUGCUGCGGUGAAUACGUUCCCGGGCCC